rnacentral:rRNA from 1 species
AUUGAACGCUGGCGGCAGGCCUAACACAUGCAAGUCGAGCGAGUGGCGGACGGGUGAGUAAUGUUUGGGAAUCUAGCUUAUGGAGGGGGAUAACUACGGGAAACUGUAGCUAAUACCGCGUACCAUAGGAUGAGCCCACGUGGGAUUAGGUAGUUGGUGGGGUAAAGGCUCACCAAGCCGACGAUCUCUAGCUGGUCUGAGAGGAUGACCAGCCACACUGGGACUGAGACACGGCCCAGACUCCGACGGGAGGCAGCAGUGGGGAAUAUUGCGCAAUGGGGGCAACCUGACGCAGCCAUGCCGCGUGAAUGAAGAAGGCCUUCGGGUUGUAAAGUUCUUUCGGUGGCGAGGCGUUAACUACAGAAGAAGCACCGGCUAACUCCGUGCCAGCCGCCGCGGUAAUAC